rnacentral:rRNA from 1 species
AUGGAGGAGCCACCACUUACACCGCCGCGCAACAAGGCCGAGGAGAUCAAGUCGCCGCCGACACCGCGGGAGGCCCUCAAGACGAGCUCGCUCUCCCUGCAGCGCAAGAAGCUCGGCUCCCACUUCCUGGAGAGCGACGAGCGCCGCCGCUUCUACAACGCAUCCUCCUCCUCCGCCGCAGUGGGCACGACGCCGCUGGACAUCCGGGGCUUGCCGAUCCCAGAGCGCGACCUGCCGCGCACGGGCGGCUGGGUGGCGGCCUUCUUCAUCUUCGGCAACGAGACGGCGGAGCGGAUGGCCUACUACGGCCUCAGCGUCAACAUGGUGGUCUUCAUGUUCAAGGUCAUGCACCUCCCCUUCGCCGCCUCCGCCAACGCCGUCAACAACUUCCUCGGCAUCUCCCAGGCCUCCUCCGUGCUCGGCGGCUUCCUCGCCGACGCCUACCUCGGCCGCUACUGGACCAUCGCCGCCUUCACCACGCUCUACCUGCUGGGCCUCAUCGCGCUCACGCUCUGCGCCACGCUCCCGGCGCUCGUCCCCGCCCAGGACGGCUGCGACAAGCUCGCCAUGCUGCUCGGCGGCUGCGCGCCGGCGGAGCGGUGGCAGAUGGCGUACCUCUACACGGCGCUCUACGUCACGGCGUUCGGCGCCGCGGGGAUCCGGCCGUGUGUGUCCUCGUUCGGGGCCGACCAGUUCGACGACCGGAGCGCGGGCUACAAGCGCCGGCUGGACCGCUUCUUCAACCUCUUCUACCUCGCCGUCACGGUGGGCGCCAUCGCCGCCUUCACGCUGGUGGUGUACAUCCAGAUGCACCGCGGCUGGGCGGCCGCGUUCGGCGCGCUGGCGCUCGCCAUGGGCGCCUCCAACGCGCUCUUCUUCGCGGGCACGCCGCUGUACCGGCACAAGGCGCCGGGGGGCAGCCCGCUGACCAGGGUGGCGCAGGUGCUCGUGGCCGCCUUCCGGAAGCGGAACGCCGACUUCGCAGACGGCGGCUACGUGGGGCUCUACGAGGUGGCCGGGGCCAAGUCGGCCAUCCGCGGCAGCGGCAAGAUCGAGCACACCGACGACUUCCGGUGGCUCGACAAGGCGGCGCUCCGGCUCGACGACGACGACGAAGAGGACCCGUGGCGGCUGUGCACGGUGACGCAGGUGGAGGAGGUGAAGAUCCUGGUGCGGCUGCUGCCGGUGCCGGCGUGCACGGUGAUGCUGAGCGUGGUGCUCACCGAGUUCCUGACGCUGUCGGUGCAGCAGGCGUACACGCUCAACACCGGCCUCCUCGCCGGCGCUGUGCACCUCCCGGUGACCUGCAUGCCGGUGUUCCCCUGCCUGGCCAUCUUCCUGGUGCUGGCGCUCUACUACCAGACCUUCGCGCCGCUGGCCCGCCGGAUCACCGGCCACCCGCACGGCGCGUCGCAGCUGCAGCGGGUCGGCCUGGGCCUCGUCUUCUCCGUCCUCUCCGUGGCCUGGGCGGGCGCCUUCGAGCGGUACCGGCGGCGGUACGCGGCGGAGCACGGGUACCUGGGCCUCUUCCUGUCGCCGAUGCCGGGGCUGAGCGCCUACUGGCUGCUCAUCCAGUACUGCCUCAUCGGGGUCGCCGAGGUGUUUUGCCUCGUGGGCCUCAUCGAGUUCCUCUACCAGGAGGCGCCCGACGCGAUGCGCAGCGUGGGGUCGGCGUACGCGGCCGUCGCCGGCGGCAUGGGCUGCUUCAUGGCCACGGCGCUCAACAACGCCGUCGACGCGGCCACAGGCGACGUCCGGAACGGGAGGCCGUCGUGGCUGGCGCAGAACAUCAACGUCGGGAGGUUCGACUACCUCUACUGGCUGCUGGCCGUGCUCAGCACGAUCAACUUCGCCGUCUUCCUCUACUUCGCCAGCAUCUACAAGUACAGAACGCCGCCGCCGACCACCACCGCCGGCUCCAACAGCAGCAAGGUGGAGGUCUCGGUGGUUUCCGGCCACAAGUGA